rnacentral:rRNA from 1 species
GCAUGGUAGAACUAUUAAAGAAUUUCGGUCAUCGAUGGGGAUGCGUUCCAUUAGGUUGUUGGCGGGGUAACGGCCCACCAAGCCUUCGAUGGAUAGGGGUUCUGAGAGGAAGGUCCCCCACAUUGGAACUGAGACACGGUCCAAACUCCUACGGGAGGCAGCAGUGAGGAAUAUUGGUCAAUGGACGAGAGUCUGAACCAGCCAAGUAGCGUGAAGGAUGACUGCCCUAUGGGUUGUAAACUUCUUUUAUACGGGAAUAAAGUGAGGCACGUGUGCCUUUUUGUAUGUACCGUAUGAAUAAGGAUCGGCUAACUCCGUGCCAGCAGCCGCGGUAAUACGGAGGAUCCGAGCGUUAUCCGGAUUUAUUGGGUUUAAAGGGAGCGUAGGCGGACGCUUAAGUCAGUUGUGAAAGUUUGCGGCUCAACCGUAAAACUGCAGUUGAUACUGGGUGUCUUGAGUACAGUAGAGGCAGGCGGAAUUCGUGGUGUAGCGGUGAAAUGCUUAGAUAUCACGAAGAACUCCGAUUGCGAAGGCAGCUUGCUGGACUGUAACUGACGCUGAUGCUCGAAAGUGUGGGUAUCAAACAGGAUUAGAUACCCUGGUAGUCCACACAGUAAACGAUGAAUACUCGCUGUUUGCGAUAUACAGUAAGCGGCC